UACGUAGGGGGCGAGCGUUGUCCGGAAUUAUUGGGCGUAAAGAGCUCGUAGGCGGUUUGUCGCGUCUGCCGUGAAAGUCCGGGGCUCAACUCCGGAUCUGCGGUGGGUACGGGCAGACUAGAGUGAUGUAGGGGAGACUGGAAUUCCUGGUGUAGCGGUGGAAUGCGCAGAUAUCAGGAGGAACACCGGUGGCGAAGGCGGGUCUCUGGGCAGUAACUGACGCUGAGGAGCGAAAGCGUGGGGAGCAAACAGG
rnacentral:rRNA from 1 species